rnacentral:rRNA from 1 species
CGUUGUUCGGAAUUACUGGGCGUAAAGGGCUUGUAGGUGGCCAACUAAGUCAGACGUGAAAUCCCUCGGCUUAACCGGGGAACUGCGUCUGAUACUGGAUGGCUUGAAUCCGGGAGAGGGAUGCAGAAUUCCAGGUGUAGCGGUGAAAUGCGUAGAUAUCUGGAGGAAUACCGGUGGCGAAGGCGGCAUCCUGGACCGGCAUUGACGCUGAGGAGCGAAAGCCAGGGGAGCAAACGGG